UUAAGCAUAUCAAUAAGCGGAGGAAGAGAAACUAACCAGGAUUCCCCCAGUAACGGCGAGCGAAGAGGGAAGAGCUCGAGCCUGAAAUCCCCGGCGCCUGGCGCCGGAGAAUUGUGGCCGGGAGAGGCAGCCGUGCCCGGGCUGGCGCUGUCGAAGUUGACCUGGAAAGGCACGUCAGAGAGGGUGAGAGCCCCGUGUGCGACACCGCCGGGCCGGGCUGCUACUGUCUUCGGAGAGUCGGGUUGUUUGGGAUUGCAGCCCAAAGUGGGUGGUAAACUCCAUCUAAAGCUAAAUACUGGCACGAGACCGAUAGCGAACAAGUACCGUGAGGGAAAGGUGAAAAGUACUUUGAAAAGAGAGUCAAAAAGACCGCGAAACCGUUAGGAGGGAAACGAAUGCGGCUGAAGUGGCUCCCCGUCAGGCUCAGGAGGCGUCGUCGGGUCUCUCGGAUGGCGAUUGAUUUCGCGUCUGCGAGGCGCCCGGCGACUGCUCUGCACUUCUGCGGGGGGCCGGCCAACGUCAGUUGCCCCCGGCCCAAGAGGGCGUCGUGGGUAGGUGCCUCUGUGCUUGCGCAGAGAACUUAUAGCCCGGCGUCACUGGCGCUCCGGGGCGCGACUGAGGAGAGUUGAUGCGAGUCUUUCGCACGUUGCGGCGCAGGCCUCUCGGGGCUGGGCCCCCGUCCGUCGGUGGGAGGCCGAGACGUUCACUGCGUGCAGUGGACGCCGACGGUGUCUUCUCGCUGGCGGGUGGGUCGGUCGCACCUUGCGCCGCAGUCGUUGGUGUCCGGAUGGCCGCAUCCGAACCCGUCUU
rnacentral:rRNA from 1 species